rnacentral:rRNA from 1 species
UACGUAGGGUGCGAGCGUUGUCCGGAAUUAUUGGGCGUAAAGAGCUUGUAGGCGGUCUGUCGCGUCUGCUGUGAAAAUCCGGGGCUCAACCCCGGACUUGCAGUGGGUACGGGCAGACUAGAGUGUGGUAGGGGAGACUGGAAUUCCUGGUGUAGCGGUGAAAUGCGCAGAUAUCAGGAGGAACACCGAUGGCGAAGGCAGGUCUCUGGGCCACUACUGACG